rnacentral:pre_miRNA from 1 species
UCACCUCCGCAGACUGGCGGGCCCCCAGGCGGGGCUGGGCGAGUGUCUCUUCGAAAGGCUCACCCUCAAGCAGGACUAGGAGC